UUGGGGUUCCAGGAAAUAGCCCCACCGUAUAGACCGUACCCGAAACCGACACAGGUGGUCAGGUAGAGUAUACCAAGGCGCUUGAGAGAAGUAUCCUGAAGGAACUCGGCAAAUUGCCUCCGUACCUUCGGAAGAAGGAGGCCCUGGCUAUGCGCAAGCACUGUCAGGGGGCACAGGCCAGGGGGUAGCGACUGUUUAGCAAAAACACAGGACUCUGCUAAGUCGGCUUCAAGACGACGUAUAGGGUCUGACGCCUGCCCGGUGCCGGAAGGUUAAGAGGAGGAGUGCAAGCUCCGAGUUGAAGCCCCGGUAAACGGCGGCCGUAACGAUAACGGUCCUAAGGUAGCGAAAUUCCUUGUCGGGUAAGUUCCGACCUGCACGAAUGGCGUAACGACUUCCCCACUGUCUCCAGGAUAUGCUCAGCGAAAUUGAAUUCUCCGUGAAGAUGCGGAGUACCCGCGGUUAGACGGAAAGACCCCGUGCACCUUUACUGCAGCUUCAGAGUGGCAUUAGGAAGAAAUUGUGUAGCAUAGGUGGGAGGCUUUGAAGCAUCGGCGCCAGCUGAUGUGGAGCCAUAGGUGAAAUACCACCCUGUUUGUUUCUGAUGUCUAACCUCGUACCGUUAGCCGGUACAGGGACCCUCUGUGGCGGGUAGUUUGACUGGGGCGGUCGCCUCCUAAAGAGUAACGGAGGCGCGCGAUGGUAGGCUCAGGCCGGUCGGAAACCGGCUGUUAGAGUGCAAUGGCAUAAGCCUGCCUGACUGCGAGACUGACGAGUCGAGCAGAGACGAAAGUCGGUCAUAGUGAUCCGGUGGUCCCUCGUGGAAGGGCCAUCGCUCAACGGAUAAAAGGUACGCCGGGGAUAACAGGCUGAUGAUUCCCAAGAGCUCAUAUCGACGGAAUCGUUUGGCACCUCGAUGUCGGCUCAUCACAUCCUGGGGCUGGAGCAGGUCCCAAGGGUUUGGCUGUUCGCCAAUUAAAGUGGUAUGUGAGCUGGGUUCAGAGCGUCGCGAGACAGUUUGGUCCCUAUCUGCCGUGGGCGUCGAUACUUGAGAGGAGUUGCCCCUAGUACGAGAGGACCGGGGUAAACAUGCCUCUGGUGUACCUGUCGUGGCGCCAGCCGCGCAGCAGGGUAGCUAUGCAUGGACGGGAUAACCGCUGAAAGCAUCUAAGCGGGAAGCCUCCCUCAAGAUAAGGUAUCAUCGAGUCGUGGUAGACCACCACGUUGAUAGGCUGGAUGUGGAAGCGCGGUAACGUGUGGAGCUAACCAGUCCUAAUAACUCUAAAAAA
rnacentral:rRNA from 1 species